AUUGAACGCUGGCGGCAGGCUUAACACAUGCAAGUCGAGCGGAGAUGAGGUGCUUGCACCUUAUCUUAGCGGCGGACGGGUGAGUAAUGCUUAGGAAUCUGCCUAUUAGUGGGGGACAACAUUCCGAAAGGAAUGCUAAUACCGCAUACGCCCUACGGGGGAAAGCAGGGGAUCUUCGGACCUUGCGCUAAUAGAUGAGCCUAAGUCGGAUUAGCUAGUUGGUGGGGUAAAGGCCUACCAAGGCGACGAUCUGUAGCGGGUCUGAGAGGAUGAUCCGCCACACUGGGACUGAGACACGGCCCGGACUCCUACGGGAGGCAGCAGUGGGGAAUAUUGGACAAUGGGCGGAAGCCUGAUCCAGCCAUGCCGCGUGUGUGAAGAAGGCCUUUUGGUUGUAAAGCACUUUAAGCGAGGAGGAGGCUCUCCUAGUUAAUACCUAGGAAGAGUGGACGUUACUCGCAGAAUAAGCACCGGCUAACUCUGUGCCAGCCGCCGCCGUAAGAC
rnacentral:rRNA from 1 species